rnacentral:tRNA from 1 species
GAAGAGAUGGCUCAGAGGUUAAGAGCACUGACUGCUCUUCCAGAGGUCCUGAGUUCAAUUCCCAGCAACCACA